GACGAACGCUGGCGGCGCGCUUAACACAUGCAAGUCGAGCGAAGCGGCGGACGGGUGAGUAACACGUGAGUAACCUGCCUUAGACAUUGGGAUAGCCUCGGUAAACCGGGAUUAAUCCCAAAUGGUCUAAGAUGGACUCGCGUCCCAUUGGCUAGUUGGUGAGGUAACGGCCCACCAAGCCGACGAUGGGUAGCCGGCCUGAGAGGGUGAACGGCCACAUUGGAACUGAGCAACGGUCCAAACUCUACGGGAGGCAGAAGUGGGGAAUAUUGCACAAUGGAGGGAACUGUGAGGCAGCGAGGCCGCGUGAACGAAGAAGGCUUUCGAGUCGUAAAGUGCUUUUAUAUGGGAAGCGGUACCAUAAGAAAAAGCCCCGGCUAACUACGUGCCAGCAGCCGCGGUAAUUC
rnacentral:rRNA from 1 species